rnacentral:tRNA from 2 species
GGCGGGGUUCCCGAGCGGUCAAAGGGACGAGACUGUAAAUCUCGCGGCUCAGCCUUCGCAGGUUCGAAUCCUGCCCCCGCCA